rnacentral:rRNA from 1 species
GAUGAACGCUGGCGGCGUGCCUAAUACAUGCAAGUCGAGCGAACGGACGAGAAGCUUGCUUCUCUGAUGUUAGCGGCGGACGGGUGAGUAACACGUGGAUAACCUACCUAUAAGACUGGGAUAACUUCGGGAAACCGGAGCUAAUACCGGAUAAUAUUUUGAACCGCAUGGUUCAAAAGUGAAAGACGGUCUUGCUGUCACUUAUAGAUGGAUCCGCGCUGCAUUAGCUAGUUGGUAAGGUAACGGCUUACCAAGGCAACGAUGCAUAGCCGACCUGAGAGGGUGAUAGGCCACACUGGAACUGAGACACGGUCCAGACUCCUACGGGAGGCAGCAGUAGGGAAUGUUACGCAAUGGGCGAAAGCCUGACGGAGCAACGCCGCGUGAGUGAUGAAGGUCUUCGGAUCGUAAAACUCUGUUAUUAGGGAAGAACAUAUGUGUAAGUAACUGUGCACAUCUUGACGGUACCUAAUCAGAAAGCCACGGCUAACUACGUG